rnacentral:rRNA from 1 species
CCUACGGGGGGCUGCAGUAGGGAAUUUUCCACAAUGGACGAAAGUCUGAUGGAGCAACACCGCGUGCAGGAUGACGGUCUUCGGAUUGUAAACUGCUUUUAUGAGUGAAGAUUUAAGACGGUAACUCAAGAAUAAGGAUCGGCUAACUACGUGCCAGCAGCCGCGGUCAUACGUAGGAUCCAAGCGUUAUCCGGAAUUACUGGGCGUAAAGAGUUGCGUAGGUGGUUAAUUAAGCAAGAUAUGAAAUCGUACGGCUCAACCGUAUACCCGUAUUUUGAACUGAUCAACUAGAGGAUGAGAGAGGUUAUUGGAAUUUCUUGUGUAGGAGUGAAAUCCGUAGAUAUAAGAAGGAACACCGAUGGCGCAGGCAGAUAACUGGCUCAUACCUGACACUGAGGCACGAAAGCGUGGGGAGCAAACGGGAUUAGAUACCCGUGUAGUC